rnacentral:lncRNA from 1 species
UCAUAUUUGACCCACGUGCCUUUUUAAAAAGUGUGUGUGCACGUUAUGUGGAGGUCAGAGGACAGCUUUUGUGAUUGGUUCUCUCCUUCCACACUGAGCUGUGGAGAUUUAGACGUAGCCUGUCAAGCUUGCAUGACAAGCACUUUUACCUCCUGAGCCAUCUCACCAGCCAGUCCACAUGCCUUUUACACAUUCCUUCUAUAGAUAUUGAGCACCAGCUAUGGCCCAGGCUCGGUUUUGAAAUAGAAACUACAGAAAAAAGGCCAUAGUUGAGUACAAGACAGAGCUAUUUAUACUGUAAGUGCUGUGGUAAAAGAGGACUCUGGUAGCAAACAUCCCAGAGAAGGUUGGGAAGAGUUUCCAAAGGAGGUGAACCCUCCUUAAUUCUUGCCGAAGGGACAAGAGCUAGUCAAUUGUAGGAGUAAAAGAAUGACUGAGAGUGCAUCGUAUGCAAAGGCUCAGACAGGAAAACACUGGGGCCAUUUUAGAGUGGGCCAGUGCAGAGGACUGGGACAUGGGGAAGGGCAUGACAAAGAGGGGCAGAGGCACAUUAGAACAUUGUUGUUUAUAUACAAGGUUUGAACGAGGCAUUGCUCACUCUGCGGUACUGGAGAGAUGGUGAGGGGAUUUUGUUGUAAAGAAGUAAUGCAAAAUAGCAUUUAUAAAACCAGGAAGUUAUGGGAAUGACAGUAAUCCUGCUGAGAGUCUGGCCCUGGAGAUGGUAUAAAAUAUGCAGUGAUGGGUCUGAAGAGUGUCUAGGGGGUGAAAUGAGUAGGCUGUCCUAACUUGUCCAGGUGCUGUGGGAGAAUACAAGGUGACUGCUGGGCAUCUUAAACCAUGGGGUGAGUUGAACAAGAAGGAAAAGCUUGAAGGCAGAGACCAGAAGCAUGGAUUCAUGUCUGUUGCUCUUUCGUGCAAGAUUGGGCGUGACUGGAGUAAAUGAGUUUCAGUGUGAAUGAAUUUAGUGUGUAUGAAAAAUACCCAAGUGAAACUGAGUCUAGGUGUGAAACUUAGGGGGGAGAUGGGAGCUGAAAUUAGCUACUUAGGAGUCGACACUGUGGCAGCACUUGGGAGCCUCAUGACAGGGAGAACCCAAAGUGAAGGUGAGAAUUAAGGCCAGGUGCAGCUUGAAGAAGAGUAGACAGAGGGGUGGCUUGGCCUGCAUGGUGGGCCUCUAGAAGCCAUGAGUGGAGUUCCAGAAAGCCAUAUUUCACAUGAAAAUAAAGCCACAACUCAACUCAGGUCUCAGGGUGAUGCUUUAAAAUGUGUUCCAUUGAGAUCCUUUAUUUGUUUUAAAUAUAUUUUAGGUUUAAAGGAAUUAAAAACCAACAAACUGAAAUGUACUAUCUUAGAAUACUGAGAUCCACUACAUAUAACAUGGAAAAAUAUUGAAAUCUGGGUUAACUAAUUUUUAAGGCAAAUUGGUAGGAUUGCUGCUGAUUUCUGUAGGAAUCAGGACUUUCUCAGUGUAGCACAGAAAUGGCACCUGAGGUGAUAUGUGUCUCCUUGAGAUUCAUUUUAACAUUUAUAACAACAGCCUUAUUGUCUUUAAUGGUGAGCUGAUCAGAUUCUCCAUACCAUUGUUUGUCACUGUAUUGGACUUCAUGUUGUUAUGUCAGGCUGGGGGGGGGGGGGGGGGAGGGGGCGGGUUCAAAGGCUACAGCCAGAAGAAGGGAGCCACUGCCUUCCUGUGGCUCUCCUGCCUCAUGUGGUCAAGUUCUUGGGGCUAAAGUCUGUAGUCUUUCAUGAAAGUUACGUCUUUCAGUUUGUGAAUUUGAUAGUAAAUUCAUGACUAGGACCAGGUCAACAAUGUACAUUUGCAUUGCUUCAGAAGGUUCAUGACUCUGUUAUCCUAAGUGUUCCUCUUUCUUAUGAACUCAGAAGCAUAACUACUUAUAAAUUACUCUCUCAUAGGAAUAAUCUCAAAUGGUAGCAACAAAAAAUAUUCUUUGUACUUGGUUUUAGUCUGCUGUGGUAUUUGAUUUUUUUUCUAGUUUGAGUUACAUUUAUAAUUAGUUUGAAAUAUUUGAGUAGACAUUAUUUGUCACUUGAGCAACAAAUUGAGCAUGUUUGACAUUACAGAAAGGAAAAAGAAGCCACCAGUAUUCAGUUUGCUGAAAAUAUCAUAUAAGUUUUUUAAGUCAACUUGGGAAUUGUCAAAUAAACAAUAACUUU